rnacentral:rRNA from 1 species
UACGUAGGGUGCGAGCGUUAAUCGGAAUUACUGGGCGUAAAGCGUGCGCAGGCGGUUCGUUAUGUCCGAUGUGAAAGCCCCGAGCUCAACUUGGGAAUGGCAUUGGAAACUGGCGGGCUGGAGUGUGGCAGAGGGGGGUGGAAUUCCACGUGUAGCAGUGAAAUGCGCAGAUAUCAGGAGGAACACCGAUGGCGAAGGCAGGUCUCUGGGCAUUAACUGACGCUGAGGAGCGAAAGCAUGGGGAGCGAACAGG